CAGGAGUUAAGGCAGAUGUUGAGGCACACGGGUGACACCAGACACACACCAAGCACAUUGUUUGGACAUUCAAUCAUGACAUGAUCCAUGUGGAUGCUGUCCAUUGAGGAAAGAGUUUGUUCAGCGGUUUCUGGACAGAAUGAAUCCCAAAGAUGGGAAAAAGUGCACAUCCAGACAAGGAGCAAGCAAAAAGACAAGGAACUUGGUGCAGAGAAAAGCUGUGGUCAUUAACCCCCAUGUGAACAGCUUCAUGCAGCAGGC